rnacentral:rRNA from 1 species
UACGGAGGAUGCAAGCGUUAUCCGGAUUUAUUGGGCGUAAAGCGUCCGUAGGUGGUUAAUCAAGUCUAUUGUCAAAGCCUGGGGCUUAACCCUGGAGAGGCGGUGGAAACUGGUUGACUUGAGUGCGGUAGGGGCAGAGGGAAUUCCCAGUGUAGCGGUGAAAUGCGUAGAUAUUGGGAAGAGCACCGGUGGCGAAAGCGCUCUGCUGGGCCUGCACUGACACUGAGGGACGAAAGCUAGGGGAGCGAAAGGG